UGGUUGAUUUUUUUUUUUAAUCUCUUCUACUAUGAAAGGAGCUUCAAAACAUUUUUUUUCUUUACCUGUUCCACUAUAAAAGGAGCUGUAAGAAGGUUUGUCUCCCAACUUUUGUCUGCGCCUUGUAAACAGGAAGCCAAAGGACAAAGAUCUGGAAGAUGGCGUUACGGGGCGCGGCUCAAAUGGACGAGGACCUCCGGGCCACGGUCCAGGACUCUUUCGGAACCACCGGCAGCGUGAUAAUGAAGGUGGACGUUGCCCAGAACCACGUGGUCCUGGACGGGUACUAUAAGGAAAGUAGGGGGGUGCAAAAAAAAAAAAUGUUGAAUGUUUAAACGUGGCAUUCACAGACUGGAA